UGAGGUGUUAUUUUUUUUACGUGGCUUAAAAAAUUGGGAUUUUUGACGUAUCGAACAUACACCGAAAUGAGAAGGAUCUGGAGUCUGUAUAGGUAUGAGACUAACCCAUAAGAACUUCUGUAAGUUGCCGGGGCGUUACAAUGAUCUCCUUAUAUAAUAUAUACAUGUGAUCAAAUAUAAAGUUUCUGCUUUCUUCUUCUUUUACUUUCUACUAUCA
rnacentral:lncRNA from 1 species